GCGGCGGACGGGUGAGUAAUUAUGGGGAUCUGCCUGAUGGCGGGGGAUAACUACUGGAAACGGUAGCUAAUACCGCAUAAUGUCUUCGGACCAAAGCGGGGGACCUUCGGGCCUCGCGCCAUCAGAUGAACCCAUAUGGGAUUAGCUUGUAGGUGAGGUAACGGCUCACCUAGGCGACGAUCCCUAGCUGGUCUGAGAGGAUGAUCAGCACACUGGGACUGAGACACGGCCAGACUCCUACGGGAGGCAGCAGUGGGGAAUAUUGCAUAAUGGGCGCAAGCCUGAUGCAGCCAUGCCGCGUGUAUGAAGAAGGCCUUCGGGUUGUAAAGUACUUUCAGUCGGGAGGAAGGUGGUAAAGUUAAUAACCUUAUCAAUUGACGUUACCGACAGAAGAAGCACCGGCUAACUCCGUGCCAGCAGCCGCGGUAAUACCGGAGGGUGCAAGCGUUAAUCGGAAUUACUGGGCGUAAAGCGCACGCAGGCGGGUUCGAUCGAUCAGAUGUGGAAAUCCCCGGGGACUUUACCCCCGGGGAACUUCGGCCANUUCCUGGAACACACUGGGGUCCAAAGGCUUAAAGAAGGCUCCACUCUGGCAACAAG
rnacentral:rRNA from 1 species